CCUUAGAGUUUGAUCCUGGCUCAAGAUGAACGCUGUCGGCGUGCUUAACACAUGCAAGUCGAACGGGAAACAUUUUAUUGAAGCUUCGGCAGAUUUAACUUGUUUCUAGUGGCGGACGGGUGAGUAACGCGUGGGUAACCUGCCUCACACUGGGGGAUAACAGUCAGAAAUGGCUGCUAAUACCGCAUAAGCGCACAGCAUCGCAUGAUGCAGUGUGAAAAACUCCGGUGGUGUGAGAUGGACCCGCGUUGGAUUAGCUAGUUGGCAGGGCAGCGGCCUACCAAGGCGACGAUCCAUAGCCGGCCUGAGAGGGUGAACGGCCACAUUGGGACUGAGACACGGCCCAGACUCCUACGGGAGGCAGCAGUGGGGAAUAUUGCACAAUGGGGGAAACCCUGAUGCAGCGACGCCGCGUGAAGGAAGAAGUAUCUCGGUAUGUAAACUUCUAUCAGCAGGGAAGAAAAUGACGGUACCUGACUAAGAAGCCCCGGCUAACUACGUGCCAGCAGCCGCGGUAAUACGUAGGGGGCAAGCGUUAUCCGGAUUUACUGGGUGUAAAGGGAGCGUAGACGGUGUUGCAAGUCUGAUGUGAAAGGCGGGGGCUCAACCCCUGGACUGCAUUGGAAACUGUGAUACUCGAGUGCCGGAGAGGUAAGCGGAAUUCCUAGUGUAGCGGUGAAAUGCGUAGAUAUUAGGAGGAACACCAGUGGCGAAGGCGGCUUACUGGACGGUAACUGACGUUGAGGCUCGAAAGCGUGGGGAGCAAACAAGAUUAGAUACCCUGGUAGUCCACGCCGUAAACGA
rnacentral:rRNA from 1 species